rnacentral:lncRNA from 1 species
CACAGAUGGGAAGGUAAGCUUCAACAGGACACUGCCAAGAGGAAGCAUGAAGAAAGAGAUAAACCCAGAGGCGGAAUGAACCCUUUGGCAGUGGAGAUAUCUGACCAUGGAGAUCUCUCUUUCUCUCAUUUUCUUUUUCCCUUCUUCUUUCACCCCAGUUUAAGGAGUAGCCUACUCCAUCUCAGAGGACUUCUGAAUGUCACCCACCAAGAAGCUGUGAGCUGGAUGCUCCACAGAUAUGAUAUACAGAGCCUUCCCUGCUGGCCUUUUUCCUUCCAUCUGGAGAUCAGCCCGGGUCCAU